GGCAUUUCCUAUUCCUUUUUUUCAAAAAUCUUAAAAAGUUACCAAAAACCCCAAAACCCUGAUGUAGAACACCACCGUUCAGGAGGAAACCCUGAUGAAGAACACCACCACCACCAGAACAACCACCAGAUUCACCUUGAAUUUUCGUUUGUUAGCUCGAGUAGAGGGGCGCAGAUGGUUAUCUAAAGUAAAGAGGAACGCUGCUACAAGUAUACACCACUCUUCUUCUGGAAAACAACCAGCCCCUCAAACCUCCAUUUCGCAAUCGCAAACGAACAGAGACACAACUUUUGAUUUACCAACGAAAGAAGACAAAAAGACGAUGAUUACCACCACCAACGAUAACUUGCCUCAGCAACAACCCAAAAAUAUUGUUAUUACUGAUGAAGAUCACUGUGAACAACAAGAGGAUAAGAAAGUUAAAAACAUAAAGGAGAACGUUUCUGAGGAACGAAAUCAAGAAGAAAUCGUCUCGAAGCAUGCCAUACAAGGGGUUAAUGAAGAAAAGAGGAAAAACCCUACACAAGAAUCCAUAGAAACGCAAUUGAGGAAAGCCCAGAGGAGGGAAGUACUACUGGCCCGAUUGCGUGCCCGGAUUCAGAAGUCGGAGGCCCGAUUUAUGCAUAUCGAGGAACAAAAUCAUACCUGCUGUGAAGAAGCCCGGGGAUGAUGAACAAAAGUAAUUGUAGCUUGCUUGGUGCUAGCUUUUGAAGAAUUGGAUUAGAUACAGGUAAGAGUCUCCCCUUGAAGAUGAUAGUAUGAUGACAUAGAAGGAAUAGAAGAUUAUCUAUUUUAAUGUUAUCCUUUGGAAUGUUUGAUGUUAUAUUCAAGGGAGAUGGUUUAGUCUCAUGAACAAUAUUAUUUCCGUAAAUGUUAGUGGUUUUGGUGAGACCAGCUCUUUUGGGAUAUUGUGUGUAAAUAGUAUUAGAUAUUCUAAACUAUGAUGCUAGAUUUUUGUGUAUUUGAAGAUUUAAUCUUAGUAUUGGUAAUUAUUUUGUUGAUUAUCCCAACAAAA